UCCGUUGGUGAACCAGCGGAGGGAUCAUUACCGAGUUUACAACUCCCAAACCCCUGUGAACAUACCUUACUUGUUGCCUCGGCGGAUCAGCCCGCUCCCGGUAAAACGGGACGGCCCGCCAGAGGACCCCUAAACUCUGUUUCUAUAUGUAACUUCUGAGUAAAACCAUAAAUAAAUCAAAACUUUCAACAACGGAUCUCUUGGUUCUGGCAUCGAUGAAGAACGCAGCAAAAUGCGAUAAGUAAUGUGAAUUGCAGAAUUCAGUGAAUCAUCGAAUCUUUGAACGCACAUUGCGCCCGCCAGUAUUCUGGCGGGCAUGCCUGUUCGAGCGUCAUUUCAACCCUCAAGCACAGCUUGGUGUUGGGACUCGCGUUAAUUCGCGUUCCUCAAAUUGAUUGGCGGUCACGUCGAGCUUCCAUAGCGUAGUAGUAAAACCCUCGUUACUGGUAAUCGUCGCGGCCACGCCGUUAAACCCCAACUUCUGAAUGUUGACCUCGGAUCAGGUAGGAAUACCCGCUGAACUUAAGCAUAUCAAUAAGCGGAGGA
rnacentral:rRNA from 1 species